rnacentral:rRNA from 1 species
UUAGAGUUUGAAUCCUGGCUCAGAUUGAACGCUGGCGGCAGGCCUAACACAUGCAAGUCGAGCGGUAGAGAGAAGCUUGCUUCUCUUGAGAGCGGCGGACGGGUGAGUAAUGCCUAGGAAUCUGCCUGGUAGUGGGGGAUAACGUUCGGAAACGGACGCUAAUACCGCAUACGUCCUACGGGAGAAAGCAGGGGACCUUCGGGCCUUGCGCUAUCAGAUGAGCCUAGGUCGGAUUAGCUAGUUGGUGAGGUAAUGGCUCACCAAGGCGACGAUCCGUAACUGGUCUGAGAGGAUGAUCAGUCACACUGGAACUGAGACACGGUCCAGACUCCUACGGGAGGCAGCAGUGGGGAAUAUUGGACAAUGGGCGAAAGCCUGAUCCAGCCAUGCCGCGUGUGUGAAGAAGGUCUUCGGAUUGUAAAGCACUUUAAGUUGGGAGGAAGGGCAGUUACCUAAUACGUGAUUGUUUUGACGUUACCGACAGAAUAAGCACCGGCUAACUCUGUGCCAGCAGCCGCGGUAAUACAGAGGGUGCAAGCGUUAAUCGGAAUUACUGGGCGUAAAGCGCGCGUAGGUGGUUAGUUAAGUUGGAUGUGAAAUCCCCGGGCUCAACCUGGGAACUGCAUUCAAAACUGACUGACUAGAGUAUGGUAGAGGGUGGUGGAAUUUCCUGUGUAGCGGUGAAAUGCGUAGAUAUAGGAAGGAACACCAGUGGCGAAGGCGACCCACCCUGGACCUGAUACUGACCACUGAGGGUGCGAAAGGCGUGGGAGCAAA